rnacentral:rRNA from 1 species
AUACGGAGGGUGCAAGCGUUAUCCGGAUUCAUUGGGUUUAAAGGGUGCGCAGGCGGAUAAUUAAGUCAGUGGUGAAAUCCCGGGGCUCAACCCCGGAACUGCCAUUGAUACUGAUAAUCUGGAAUACGGUUGAAGUGGGCGGAAUGUAGCAUGUAGCGGUGAAAUGCAUAGAGAUGCUACAGAACACCGAUCGCGAAGGCAGCUCACUAAACCGAUAUCGACGCUCAGGCACGAAAGCGUGGGGAGCGAACAGGAUUAGAUACCCUAGUAGUCC